AUCCUUUUGUAGUUCAUAAGCGUGAUGAUUGGGUUUUCAUACUCGUGUAUGAAAUGUGCCUCCCACUAAACCUUGUUACGAUCGUGGCACAUCACCCGUCUGACG